rnacentral:rRNA from 1 species
UACGUAGGGUCCGAGCGUUGUCCGGAAUUAUUGGGCGUAAAGAGCUCGUAGGCGGUUUGUCGCGUCUGCUGUGAAAUCCCGAGGCUCAACCUCGGGCCUGCAGUGGGUACGGGCAGACUGGAGUGUGGUAGGGGAGACUGGAACUCCUGGUGUAGCGGUGAAAUGCGCAGAUAUCAGGAAGAACACCGGUGGCGAAGGCGGGUCUCUGGGCCACUACUGACGCUGAGGAGCGAAAGCGUGGGGAGCGAACAGG